rnacentral:tRNA from 1 species
GCCCAGGUGGCGGAAAUAGGUAUACGCGCACGACUCAAAAUCGUGUCCCGUAAGGGAUGUGGGUUCAAUUCCCACCCUGGGCACAA